GACGUAGGGCGCGAGCGUUGUCCGGAUUUAUUGGGCGUAAAGAGCGUGUAGGCGGUUCGGUAAGUCGGCUGUGAAAGUCCAGGGCUCAACCCUGGGAUGCCGGUCGAUACUGCCGGACUAGAGUUCGGAAGAGGCGAGUGGAAUUCCCGGUGUAGCGGUGAAAUGCGCAGAUAUCGGGAGGAACACCUAUGGCGAAGGCAGCUCGCUGGGACGUUACUGACGCUGAGACGCGAAAGCGUGGGGAGCGAACAGG
rnacentral:rRNA from 1 species